rnacentral:rRNA from 1 species
GAUGAACGCUGGCGGCGUGCUUAACACAUGCAAGUCGAACGAAGCACUUUAACCUGAUUCUUCGGAUGAAGGGCGUGGUGACGGAGGGGCGGACGGGUGAGGAACGCGUGGGUAACCUGCCUCAUACAGGGGGAUAACAGAUAGAAAUGACGGCUAAUACCGCAGAAGACAACAGAGCCGCAUGGCUCGGUGGGAAAAACCCCGGUGGUAUGAGAUGGACCCGCGUCUGAUUAGGUAGUGGGCGGGGUAACGGCCUACCAUGCCAACGAUCGGUAGCCGACCUUGGAGGGUGACCGGCCACAUUGGGCCUAAGAUACGGCCCAGACUCCUACGGGAGGCAGCAGUGGGAAAUAUUGCACAAUGGGCGCAAGCCUGAUGAAGCAACGCCGCGUUCGUGAUGACGGCCUUCGGGUUGUAAACCGCUUUCGCCUGUGACGAAGCGUGAGUGACGGUAAUGGGUAAAGAAGCACCGGCUAACUACGUG